GACGAACGCUGGCGGCGUGCCUAAUACAUGCAAGUCGAACGCUUUUUCUUUCACCGGAGCUUGCUCCAUCGAAAGAAAAAAAGUGGCGAACGGGUGAGUAACACGUGGGUAACCUGCCCAUCAGAAGGGGAUAACACUUGGAAACAGGUGCUAAUACCGUAUAACACUAUUUUCCGCAUGGAAGAAAGUUGAAAGGCGCUUUUGCGUCACUGAUGGAUGGACCCGCGGUGCAUUAGCUAGUUGGUGAGGUAACGGCUCACCAAGGCAACGAUGCAUAGCCGACCUGGGAGGGUGAUCGGCCACACUGGGACUGAGACACGGCCCAGACUCCUACGGGAGGCAGCAGUAGGGAAUCUUCGGCAAUGGACGAAAGUCUGACCGAGCAACGCCGCGUGAGUGAAGAAGGUUUUCGGAUCGUAAAACUCUGUUGUUAGAGAAGAACAAGGAUGAGAGUAAAAUGUUCAUCCCUUGACGGUAUCUAACCAGAAAGCCACGGCUAACUACGUGCCAGCCGCCGCCGUAA
rnacentral:rRNA from 1 species